CUUCCAUUGGAUAGUCUUGGGUAAAAGCGGUGUAGGAGGAGAAAAGGCUCCAUACCUCCAUACCCUCUUUCUACCUCUAUCUACCCAACAACUGGGCUGGGAGAGUAAUAGUGUCUACACUGCUGAAGUGAAGAAACUGAGACUUAGGCUAAGCAAACUGCCUGAUGCCAUAUAACUACAUGUAGUGGUGAAUGUGAGAUUAAGACUUGGAUUUGUCUGGCUCUGAAAUCUCUGUGCCUUGCCCAACAAUAAGAGUCAGAAGAGAAAGAGAUAUUGUACCAUCUGGGGAGAUUUGAAUUCAAGUUCUGGCGUUUUCAUACAGCUUCACGUGGAUCACCAUGGCAAUCCCUUAACAUCCAUGAGCCUUGAAACGGGCAUAAAAAUACUCACAUAAGGAUUGUCAUUAGAAGAAUCCAGAUGAUGUAAUAAAUGUGCAAUAUUUCACAAA